AUGGCCGGCGGCGGCGCUGCGCUUCCGUCAAGGGAGAUGGUCGCGGCGGCGGCGCAGCUCGGCUUUCCUCCCCGACCCGGCAUUCGAUUCUACCCCACGGACCAGGAGCUCGUCGGUUGGUUACUCAGGAGCAAGGUCCUGGGGCACGCCGGCCUCCACAUCGACUUCAUCCCCGUGGUGAACGCCUACAAGUUCGAGCCCCAGGAAUUACCAGACAAGUCGUUCUCGCCGAGCACAGCCGACCCCGUGGCCAAAGUGGAGUCGUACUUUUUCGCACCAAGGGGCCGAAAGUACCCAACUGGGCUUCGCAUGAAACGGGCAACAGAAAACGGAUUCUGGAAGUCCACCGGAAAGGACCAUCCCAUCAUGCACAACGGCACCAUCAUCGGCAUGAAGAAGACGCUCGUGUUCCACGCAGGCCGUGCUCCUAAGGGUACACGCACCGACUGGGUCAUGCACGAGUACCGCCUCCACGGCCACUGCAACCAGGACACAUACGCCUUGUGUCGGGUCUUCAACAAGAACACUGUGACCCCGUCGACGGAUGUGUCCGGUGGUGCGGAUGCAGAUGAGGAUCCCAUGCACUUUCUGCCUGGCGGCGUCGACAUGAACCCUGAUCUGAUGGAGUAUGUGUUUGACGGCGCCAACUCGGACACGUCCUUGAAGUUCAUGCUUGAAGGCAUCAAGACGGACAACAAUUCAAUUGUGAACAAUGAUUUGAUGCAUUUCUUGCUUGACGGGGUCGGCACAGAGAAGGAUCCCAUACCAGUUGAGCCCAUGUCCGAUUAUGCUGUCGCGGACAAUGGAGGGGUGCAACUCCGCAGUGGUGGUGGCGACAAGGGCAAGGGAGGGGAGCAGUUUGUGACUGGUGGCGACAUCACAAAAAAGGGAGGCAUGAACUACGUGGCUGGCGGCGCCUACAUUGAAAGGGGAGCGAUGCAGCCCUUGACUGUUGGCAUGGAAAAAGAUGAUGCGGGCAAGGACAAAUCCUGGAUGGAGUUCCUCCGCGGCGAUGUCUACUGGAAUCAGUUCAUUCCCGAUGAUGGUUGGAACUCCAACGCCAACUAG
rnacentral:rRNA from 1 species